UAUUAGGCUGCUGCAAAAGUAAUCAUGUUUUUUUCAUUGUAAGUAAUGGGAAAAACUGUAAUUACUUUUGUACCAACCUAAUAAC
rnacentral:miRNA from 1 species